rnacentral:rRNA from 1 species
AUACGUAGGGUGCGAGCGUUGUCCGGAAUUACUGGGCGUAAAGAGCUCGUAGGUGGUUUGUCGCGUCGUCUGUGAAAUUCCGGGGCUUAACUCCGGGCGUGCAGGCGAUACGGGCAUAACUUGAGUACUGUGGGGGAGACUGGAAUUCCUGGUGUAGCGGUGAAAUGCGCAGAUAUCAGGAGGAACACCGGUGGCGAAGGCGGGUCUCUGGGCAGUAACUGACGCUGAGGAGCGAAAGCAUGGGUAGCGAACAGGAUUAGAUACCCUGGUAGUCCAUGCCGUAAACGGUGGGCGCUAGGUGUAGGGGUCUUCCACGACUUCUGUGCCGUAGCUAACGCAUUAAGCGCCCCGCCUGGGGAGUACGGCCGCAAGGCUAAAACUCAAAUGAAUUGACGGGG